GUCCACGCAGUAAACGAUGAUUACUAGGAGUUUGCGAUACACAGUAAGCUCUACAGCGAAAGCGUUAAGUAAUCCACCUGGGGAGUACGCCGGCAACGGUGAAACUCAAAAGGAAUUGACGGGGCCCGCACAAGCGGAGGAACAUGUGGUUUAAUUCGAUGAUACGCGAGGAACCUUACCCGGGUUUGAACGUAGUCAGACCGACCUUGAAAGAGGUCUUCUAGCAAUAGCUGAUUACGAGGUGCUGCAUGGUUGUCGU
rnacentral:rRNA from 1 species